AUUCCAUGAGGCGGGCAUUUCCUCAAAAUUUCCUUGUACCUCUCCCAAGCAUCGUACAAAGAUUCAGACUUUAACUACACAAAGUAUGAGAUGUCACUCCUCAACAU